AAUUAAAAACUCCUACAAUUCACCUGAUUCACCAUAAUUAAUUUUUAACACGAGAGUAAUAGUCAAAAUUGUUACCAGUAGGUACCUAUUGAUUUUUAAAUGAAAAAAAUGAGAAUUGUUUAAAAAAAAUGAAAAUUUUGUUUCACGUUAUCACUUAACCAGCGGUGGUAUAAAUUACACCUAUGUGCAUUUGUUCUAUCUCCCUUUAGUUAUACUUGGUUCAAAUAUUUAGUUAGUAGC